CCUACGGGAGGCAGCAGUGGGGGAUAUUGCACAAUGGGGGAAACCCUGAUGCAGCGACGCCGCGUGAGUGAAGAAGUAUUUCGGUAUGUAAAGCUCUAUCAGCAGGGAAGAAAAUGACGGUACCUGACUAAGAAGCCCCGGCUAACUACGUGCCAGCAGCCGCGGUAAUACGUAGGGGGCAAGCGUUAUCCGGAUUUACUGGGUGUAAAGGGAGCGUAGACGGCUGUAUAAGUCUGAAGUGAAAGCCCGUGGCUCAACCGCGGGACUGCUUUGGAAACUGUAAAGCUGGAGUACGGGAGAGGCAGGCGGAAUUCCUGGUGUAGCGGUGAAAUGCGUAGAUAUCAGGAGGAACACCGGCGGCGAAGGCGGCCUGCUGGACUGAAACUGACGUUGAGGCUCGAAAGCGUGGGGAGCAAACAGGAUUAGAUACCCCUGUAGUC
rnacentral:rRNA from 1 species